CUAAUACAGUGACUGGUCCCACAGCAGACAUGCAAUAAAUAUUUGAUGAAUGAAUGGCAGAACCAUCAACCAAAGGAAGUAAUUGCAUAGCAGCAGCCUGGUGCCCAUGACUAUCUAGAUAAUCAGAUACUCACUGUCUUCAGCAUUGGUAUCUUCUAUUCUCAACGGCAUUUCUGGUGGCCACCCCAGGAGUCUCCCUGACCUGUUUUAAAACCCUUGGAAAUUAAGGAGAGAAUCCACUACAUAUAUUCCUUUGAAAGUUUCCACCAUAUAUGUUCAAAAAUUGCUGAAUGAGCACAAGGAU
rnacentral:lncRNA from 1 species